GACGAACGCUGGCGGCGUGCUUAACACAUGCAAGUCGAACGAAGUGGAGAACGGGUGAGUAAUACGGGGGUAACCUGACCUCCUUUUUGGGAUAAGCCAUGGAAACGGGGACUAAUACCGAAUAAAGGGGGAUGGGCGAGCGGCUGAUCAGCUUGGUGGUGGGGGGAUGGCCUACCAAGGCUGUGACGGGUAGACGGACUGAGAGGGUGACUGGCCAUAUGGGGACUUGGAUACGCCCCCGGCUCCUACGGGAGGCGGCUGUGGGGGAUAUUGCACAAUGGUCGAGAGCCUGUUGCAGCGACGCCGCGUGGGGGAUUAAGGCUUUCGGGUUUUAAACCUCUUACGCUAUCGAUCGGGUACGUGGAGAAGAAGCGCCGGCUAACUACGUGCCAGCAGCCGCGGUAAUUC
rnacentral:rRNA from 1 species